UUGUUUACCUUAUUCAUCAAUGCCUUGGAUGAAAGUGCAGAUCCCUCCUCAGCAAGUUCACUGGUGACACCAAUCUGGGAGGAGUGGUCAACACCCAGAGGGCUGUGCAGCCCUGCAGAAGGACCUCAACAGGUUGGAGAGGGGCAGAGAAGAACUUCCUGAAAUUCAGCAAAGGUAGGUGCAGGGUCCUGCACAUGGGGAAGAAAAACCCCUGCACCAGUAGUGGCUGGGGGCUGAGCUUCUGUGAAGCAGCUCUGUGGAGAAGGACCUGGGUGUCCUGGUGGAUGACAAACUGUCCCUGAGCCAGCAGUGUGCCCUGGUGACCAAGAAGGCCAAUGAUCAGAUUUGCUGCUUUAGAAGGACCAUGGCCAGCAGGUGGACAGAGGUGAUCCUGCCACUGUUCUCAGCCCCGGUAAGGCCACAUCUGGAAAGCUGUGUCCAGUUCUGGGCUCCUCAGGACAAGAGAGACGUGUACCUACUGGAGCAGGUCCAGUGAAGGACUGUGAAGAUGAUGAGGGGUCUGGAGUGUCUCUCUUACAGGCUGAGGCAGCUGAGCCUGCUCAGCCUCAACAAAAGGCAGCUGAGAGGGGACCUCAUCAAUGGACCUCUGUGAGUAUCUGAAGGGAGGGUGUCAGGAGGAUUGUGCCAGGCUCAUAUUGGUGCCAAGCAGCAGGACAAGAUGCAAUGGGAAGAAAGUUUUGCAUGAAUAAUAAGAAAAACACUUUACUCUGUGUGUGUGACUAAGCACUGGAACCAGUUGCACAGAGAGGUUGUGAGGUUUCCCUCACUGAAGAUAUUUAAGAACCACCUGGAAGCAAUCCCAUGCAACGUGCUCUGGGAUGUCCCUGCAUGCGCAGGCAGGUUGGACCAGAUGACCUGCUGUGGUCCCUUCCAACCUUACCCAGCUUGUGAUUCUGUGAAAAAAAGUAUUCUUGAAAUAUGUUUCCUCAAACUGUGACAGCUAUUGAAAAUUUAAAUGUUCCCCCAGUUCAGUCAGCACGAACCUUAGAAUAGUUAAAUGCAACAGUAAAGGAAACACUAACAGAACAUAGUAAGAGGAAAAUUGUUUUAAAAUAUUUUUUCUUUAAGUUUAUUGCUUAUUAUUGAUUUCACAUCAAAAGCAACAUAUUUAAAAUGAUCACAUUAGGUAAUUGUACAUUUUUCAAUGGAAUUUUAGGACUGUUUUUUCUAAGAAACAUUUUCAUGCCCUAAGUGAAAAACCCUCAAUUUGACAGAUUUGUGAAAGCAAAGUUGCUAGGGAUUUUGAAGACAAUCAUCUCAGUCUAACCCGUGGUUCAGGACAUCUUAGAAGUGUAGACUGCUGGAAGCUGAGAUGACACAUUGGGAAAGUGCAGCUUUUGUAUUCAUGGCUUGUACAUUUUGUAAAGGUCAUGUAUUUAGGUUAACAAAGUUUUACUUGGGGCAGUAUCUGUAUUUACUCUUUUAAGGAUUAUCCUUACAUAUGUGCAUAUGUUCGGAUGUAUAACCCGGUUCCAAUAUGAUAUUUUGUAAUGAAAACUAAUAUCAACAUUACUGUCCCACAAUUUAUGAUCUCUCUAUUCCUGUCAUGGCCUUCAUCCGAAACUCAGUCUCCUGUGCUAUAAAUUACAUGAUACAUUAUAAGAUUUGUGCUUCUUUCUGUCUCCAGGUCCUUGAUACUAAUCAUGAAAUCUUUUAGACUACUCUUCAUUCUUCCCUGCUAUUUCAGCUUCCUCCUCCAGUUUCUGUCUUCUCAGUCUUCAAAGUCUUAUACUUUCCUUCAGUCUGUCUUUCAUUAGAAGCCCUUUGGAUUCCAUCUCUUUCAACAUGCAUUUCCAUAAGUCACUUCACUCUGUAUGUUGAUCUACUCCUAGAAUUACUUUUGAGCCUGUAUAUGUUAAGUUACUUGAUGUACCAGAUCACUGCCUACUACCUUUGAUCGUCUUUUGACAUUGAAGCAAAUUUGUGCUGUCUUUUGAGUCAAGAAAGAUAGUGAAAUGGAGCUCAUACAAGAUAUGUACCUCAAAUUUACACAGUGUAAGCUACUUUUCAGAAGUCAGUGCACAGCCUUGCCUUCUUCUGGGCCAUGACUGGCUUAAAAUAAAUGUCUCUUGCUCUAGAGCAUGACACAGCUUUGACAACAGAAGUGAAGUUCGUGCUGGCUGCAGGAGUGAUGAAUAUCAAGCUGUAUCAGAGGAGCAAUAUGCGUCACAUCCUUUAAACUGAUCCUCAUGGAUUAUGCUUGGCUCUACCACCAGUCCAUGUGCAUGCCCUCUGUUCUUGUUGGAAAAUCACAAGAAGCUGGAUCACUCUCAAUUCUUUGGUGAAAGGAGAAAUAAUAUUUUGGUAAAGAAAAAGAAGGAAAAUAAAGGUACCCAAUCCCUGUGCUGGAAGACAGACACAGGAGACAGAAUGAAGCCCUCAGAAUCUAAGGGGAAAUGCUCAGAACCUGCUGUACCACACAGAUAUGCACAAGUCUAUGGGGCCAGAUGGAAUCCCCCCAAGGGUAUCAAAGGAGGUGACAGAAGUGCUCCCUGAGGCUCCCUCCAUCACCUCCCUGCAGCCCUGGAGAGCUGGGUAAGUCACAGUUGACUGGAGGUUAUCACACAUGAGGUGUGUCUACAGAAAAGGCUGGAAGGAGGAUACAGGGAACUACAGGCCUGUCAGUCUCAGUGCCAGGGAAAGUCACAAAACAGAUCAUGCUGAGUGCCAGCAUGCUGCACAUACGGGACAGCCAGGGACUCAGGCCCAGCCAGCGUGACUUCAUGAAAGGCAGGUCCUGUUCAAACAACAUCAUCUCCAUCUAUGACAAGGAGACCUGCUUAGUACAUGAUGAAAAGACUAUGGAUAUUGCCUUCCUGGGCUUUAGCAAAGCCUUUGACAAUGUCUCCCACAGCCUUCUCCUGGAGAAACUGACUGCUUGGAUAGGUCCACUCUUGGCUGGGUAAAAAAAAAAGGGUGGCUGGGCCAGAAACUGGUGGUGAAUGAAGCUGAGUCCAAAUAGUGACUGCUCACAAGUGUAGUUCCUGAGGGCUCAGUCUUGGGGCCAGUCCCGUUUAAUAUUUUUGUCAAUGAUCUGGAUGAGGGGAUCGAGCACACCCUCAGUCAGUUUGCAGAUGACACCAAGCUGGGUGGGAGUGUUGAUCUGCUGGAGGGCAGGAAGGCUCUGCAGAGGGAUCUGGCCAAGGGCAGAGUUAUAGUGUUCAACAAAACCAAGUGCCAGGUCCUGCGAUUGGGUCACAAAAACUCCAGGCAGCACUACUGUCUUGGGGGUCAGGGCUGGAAAGCUGCCCAAUGGACAAAGAACCUGGAAUUGUUGGUUGACAGUGAGCUGAGCAUGAGCUAACGUGAGCCAAGGUGGCCAAAAAGGCCAGUGACACCCUGGCUUAUACCAGAAACAGUGUGGGCAGCAGGACCAAGAAGGUGACCUCUGUACUUGGCACUGGUGAGGCCCCACCUCCAAACCUGGGUCCAGUUCUGGGACCGUCAACACAAGAAACAUGUUGAAAUGCUGGAGCAUGUCCAGAGAAGGGCAACAGAGCUGGGGAAGGGUCUGGGGCACAGUUCAUCAUAUGAGGAGCAGCUGAGGGAGCUGGGGGUGUUUAGCCUGGAGAAAAUGGGGCUCGGGGGGACAUUAUUUUUCCUAGAACUACCUGAAAAGGGGAUGUAGGAGGUAGGGGUUGGUCUCUUCUCCCAAGGAAAAAGUGUCAGAAUGAGACAAAAUAGGUUGUGCCAGGGGAGUUUUAUGUGAUAUAUGAGAAAAAACUUCUUCAGGGAGCAGGUGGUCAGGCACAGGAACAGGCCUCCCAGGGAAGUGGCAGUAUCACAAUUCCUGGAGAUAUUUAAAAGACGUGUAGACUUAGGGACAUGGUUUUGUGGUGAACACAGUGGUGCUAGAUUAGCAAGGGCAUUUGAUGAUCUAGGAGAUGUUUUCCAACCUUAAAAAUUGUAUGGUUCUAUGUUUUUUACAAAAAUUCUGGCGUUUCAUCAAUAAUCUGAGACUUCCUCUUUUUCUAUUUUAAGUGUUUAAAGACUGUAAUGAUGUUCAAUGUGACAAGACACCAGCACUCUGUCAUCUGGUCUAAACACUCACUGAGAUGUAGGUAUUAUUUAACAAAAAAUUAUUAAUUAUUAAUAAUUAUAACCAAUAUUUAUAAUUAAUUAUACCAAUUAAUACUUAUAAUUAAUGAUAUUAUGUUAAAUAAUAUUUAUAAUUUAUUAACA